rnacentral:rRNA from 1 species
GAUGAACGCUGGCGGCGUGCCUAAUACAUGCCAGUCGAGCGAACAGACGAGGAGCUUGCUCCUCUGACGUUAGCGGCGGACGGGUGAGUAACACGUGGAUAACCUACCUAUAGGACUGGGAUAACUUCGGGAAACCGGAGCUAAUACCGGAUAACAUGUUGAACCGCAUGGUUCAACAGUGAAGGACGGUCUUGCUGUCACUUAUAGAUGGAUCCGCGCCGCAUUAGCUAGUUGGUAAGGUAACGGCUUACCAAGGCAACGAUGCGUAGCCGACCUGAGAGGGUGAUCGGCCACACUGGAACUGAGACACGGUCCAGACUCCUACGGGAGGCAGCAGUAGGGAAUCUUCCGCAAUGGGCGAAAUCCUGACGGAGCAACGCCGCGUGAGUGAAGAAGGUCUUCGGAUCGUAAAACUCUGUUAUUAGGGAAGAACAAAUGUGUAAGUAACUAUGCACGUCUUGACGGUACCUAAUCAGAAAGCCACGGCUAACUACGUG